rnacentral:rRNA from 1 species
UACGAAGGGGGGCUAGCGUUGUUCGGAAUUACUGGGCGUAAAGCGCACGUAGGCGGAUUUGUAAGUCAGGGGUGAAAGCCCGGGGCUCAACUCCGGAAUUGCCUUUAAGACUGCAUCGCUAGAAUUGUGGAGAGGUAAGUGGAAUUCCGAGUGUAGAGGUGAAAUUCGUAGAUAUUCGGAAGAACACCAGUGGCGAAGGCGACUUACUGGACACAUAUUGACGCUGAGGUGCGAAAGCGUGGGGAGCGAACAGG